CGCCACAUGAUGUAGCCGAGGCCCGGCUGUCCUUCGCCCUGCGCCCACGAAUUCAUGCGGUCGCAGAAGGCACGCGAACCGCCGCCCGGCCCGGGGAUCGCCCAGACCUGAUUGGUCGCGUCUUCGAGCAUGCGUGCGAACACCUUGAAGCCCGAACCGCGGAAGUGUUCGGACACAUCCUGCAUCACCAGAGGAUUGCGCAGGUCCGGCUUGUCGGUGCCGUA
rnacentral:misc_RNA from 1 species